GACAGAGGGUGCAAGCGUUGUUCGGAAUUACUGGGCGUAAAGCGCGUGUAGGCUGCCCUGCAAGUCGGAUGUGAAAGCCCUGGGCUCAACCUAGGAAGUGCAUUCGAAACUGCAGGGCUGGAGUCCUGGAGAGGAAGGCGGAAUUCUCGGUGUAGAGGUGAAAUUCGUAGAUAUCGAGAGGAACACCGGUGGCGAAGGCGGCCUUCUGGACAGUGACUGACGCUGAGACGCGAAAGCGUGGGGAGCAAACAGG
rnacentral:rRNA from 1 species